rnacentral:rRNA from 1 species
UACGUAGGUGGCGAGCGUUAUCCGGAUUUACUGGGCGUAAAGGGUGUGCAGGCGGGCUGUUAAGUGGUGUAUGAAAUAUCCCGGCUCAACCGGGAAGGGUUAUGCCAGACUGGCAGUCUAGAGAGCGAGGGAGGGACGUGGAAUUCCGGGUGUAGUGGUGAAAUGCGUAGAGAUCCGGAGGAACCCCAGAGGCGAAGGCGGCGUCCUGGCUCGCAUCUGACGCUCAGACACGACAGCAUGGGGAGCGAACGGG